UACGUAGGUGGCAAGCGUUGUCCGGAUUUACUGGGCGUAAAGGGCGUGCAGGCGGUUUGUUAAGUGCAGGGUGAAAGCUCCCGGCUCAACUGGGAGAGGUCCUUGCAUACUGGCGAACUCGAGGGAGGCAGAGGAAAGUGGAAUUCCCGGUGUAGUGGUGAUAUGCGUAGAUAUCGGGAGGAACACCUGUGGCGAAGGCGGCUUUCUGGGCCUUACCUGGCGCUGAGACGCGAAAGCGUGGGGAGCGAACCGG
rnacentral:rRNA from 1 species